rnacentral:rRNA from 1 species
GUGCCAGCAGCCGCGGUAAGACAGAGGGUGCAAACGUUGUUCGGAAUUACUGGGCGUAAAGCGCAUGUAGGCGGCCUAGCAGGUCGGAUGUGAAAUCCCUCGGCUCAACCAAGGAAGUGCAUUCGAAACCGCAAGGCUGGAGUCCCGGAGAGGAUGGUGGAAUUCUCGGUGUAGAGGUGAAAUUCGUAGAUAUCGAGAGGAACACCGGCGGCGAAGGCGGCCAUCUGGACGAGGACUGACGCUGAGAUGCGAAAGCGUGGGGAGCAAACAGGAUUAGAUACCCUGGUAGUCCACGCUGUAAACGAUGGGUGCUAGGUGUCACGGGCUUUGACCCCUGUGGUGCCGUAGCCAACGCAUUAAGCACCCCGCCUGGGAAGUACGGUCGCAAGACUAAA